rnacentral:rRNA from 1 species
GAUGAACGCUAGCGAUAGGCUUAACACAUGCAGGUCGAGGGGCAGCAUUAUUUUAGCUUGCUAAGAUAGAUGGCGACCGGCGCACGGGUGCGUAACGCGUAUGCAACCUGCCUGUAAUUAGGGAAUAACCCGGUGACAAGUCGGACUAAUACCCUAUAUUCUUCUUUCUCCGCAUGGGGGAGGACGGAAAGAUUUAUUGAUUACAGAUGGGCAUGCGUCCCAUUAGCUGGUUGGUAAGGUAACGGCUUACCAAGGCAACGAUGGGUAGGGGGACUGAGAGGUUGACCCCCCACACUGGUACUGAGACACGGACCAGACUCCUACGGGAGGCAGCAGUGAGGAAUAUUGGUCAAUGGGCGAGAGCCUGAACCAGCCAAGUCGCGUGAAGGACGACGGUUCUAUGGAUUGUAAACUUCUUUUGUAGAGGAAUAACGGCAGCUACGUGUAGCUGAGAUGCAUGUACUCUACGAAUAAGUAUCGGCUAACUCCGUGCCAGCAGCCGCGGUAAUACGGAGGAUACGAGCGUUAUCCGGAAUUAUUGGGUUUAAAGGGUGCGUAGGUGGCGUAUUAAGUCAGUGGUGAAAAGCUGCAGCUCAACUGUAGUCUUGCCGUUGAAACUGAUAUGCUAGAGAGGAGACGAGGUAUGCGGAAUGUGUGGUGUAGCGGUGAAAUGCAUAGAUAUCACACAGAACGCCGAUUGCGAAGGCAGCGUACCAGGCUCCGUCUGACACUGAAGCACGAAAGCGUGGGGAUCAAACAGGAUUAGAUACCCUGGUAGUCCACGCAGUAAACGAUGAAUACCAGAUUUUUGCGAUAUAGUGUAAGAGUCUAAGCGAAAGCGAUAAGUAUUCCACCUGGGGAGUACGCCGGCAACGGUGAAACUCAAAGGAAUUGACGGGGGGCGCGCACAAGCGGAGGAUCAUGUGGUCUAAUUCUAUGAUACUCGAGGAACCUUACCCGGGAUUGAUAUGUGGCAUCGUGGCAG